AUAAGGUUUGAUUCUGGCUUUUAUGUUAAUUAUUUUAAAUUAAUUAUAUGUUAAAAAGUUGAAUUAAUAAUUUGCAGUAAUUUAUUUUAUUCUUAAUUUUAUUAUUAUUUAGAAAUUUAUUAAAAUUAGAUUAAUUUUGUGCCAGCAUUCGCGGUUAUACAUCUUAUUUAAAUUAACUUUUUUGGUUAAUAUAUAUAUUAUUUUAUUUGAUUAUUUAAUUUAAUUAUUUAGGUGAAAUUUAUACUAUUCAAAAAUUUCAAAUAUUUUUAUAUUAAGUUUUUAUUUAAACUAGGAUUAGAUACCCUAUUAUUUUUUAUUUAAAUUUUUUAUUAUUCCUAAAUAUUAAUAGUUAUUUUCUAUGAAACUUAAAGAAUUUGGCGGUAAUUUUUCUUUAUAGAGGAACCUGUAUUUUAAUUGAUAAACCACAAUAAUUUUCACCAAUUAUAUUAUUUGUAUAUCGCUAUAUUAUAGAGUGUUUUAAUAAGAAAUUUUCUUUAAUUAUAAAAAAUAAUAUUAGGUCAAGAUGCAGUUUUUAUUUGGUUUAUGUGGGUUACUUUAAAAAUAUUUAUUUUAUAACUAUAAAUUAAUUAAUUUAUUUUAAAAUAGGAUUUAUUAGUAAUUUGGUUUAAUUAAAUUUUUUGAAUUUAGAUCUAAAUUAUGUACAUAUCGCCCGUCACUCUCAAUUAUAUGGGAUAAGUCGUAACAAAGUAGUUGUACCGGAAGGUGUAUCUAGAAUGUU
rnacentral:ncRNA from 1 species